GACUGCUGGAUUUCUCCCGGAGGCCCCAGAUAAUCUUACACCGAAUGGAUUCCCUGAAGUGUAACGUUUGUAACCAGGAGAGGAGAUCCACUCUGGACCAGGAGGAGUUAGAACCUGUGCAGG